GGAGCCUCCUUCGGAUUCUGUGUCUCCCUCUCCUUCUGCCCCUCCUAUGCUCACACUCUCAUUCUUAAAAAUAAACAAUUUUUUUUUUAAAAAGGAAGGAUAUUCUGAUACAUGCUACAACAUAGGUGAACCUUGAGGACAUUACGAAGUAAAAUAAGCCAAUCAAAAAACCCCAUAUACUGUAUUGUUCACUUACAUAACUUACCUAGAGUCGGCAAAUUCAGAGAGACAGAAAGUGGAAUGGCGGUUGCCGGCUGUAAGGAGGAGGAAAUGGGGAGCUGUCGUUUAAUGGAGACGGAGUUCUAGUUUUGCAAGAUGAAACGAGUUGUGGUGAUGGUCGCACAACGAUGCAAAUGGACUUAUCCCUACUGACCUGUACACUUAAAAAUGACUAAGAUGGCAAGCUAUGUUCUGUGCAUAUUGCCACAAUUUUUAAAAAUUGAGAAAAAUAGUGGAAUUAAAUAUAGAACAGCGAUCUCAAUGACUGUGGAUUUCUCAUCAGAAACUGUGGAAGAGACAGUGGAACGACAUCUUUAAAGCGCCAGAAUAACUAUACCUAGAGAAAAUAUAUUCAGGACUGAAGGCAAAAUAAAGACCAUUCUCAGAUGAAGGAACACUAAGAGAAUUUCUCGAGAAAGUUUUUCAGGCAGAAGGGAAAUCACAGUUUCAGAGGGGUUGUUGAAGGUUAAGGAAUGAAGGAGGAAUCGCUUCUCGGCCUUUUGGCUAAGAUCAAGUGGAGGAAUGAAGGAGGGACGUAAAUGUGGAUGCAGCGGCUGGCGUGGCAGCCCCAUCUUCCCCGGUGAAGACCGUGAGGCAGAGUCCAGAUUCCUAAAGACUCUGUGAAACAGACCCAUCAUCCUAGCCCUGGGUGGUCUACUUUUGGACUUUGAUGUGAGGCAGAAGUAUCCAGCACAGAGUCGAUGCGCCAUCCUCCGAGACCGCCUUCUGACUCUCUGUCGAUCCCCGGCUUGCCCUACGGAAAAUGUGUCCCCCAUCCUUGCUGGCGUCAGCAAGAAAAACCUGACCAAAGGGCACGCCUUAGGUUCCAGGUUACACAAAUCCAUGGGAGAAAAAUCAGCAGUGGAGGAGGAA